AUGCAGUCGAGCGGUAGAGAAGGAGCUUGCUUCUUCUUGAGAGCGGCGGACGGGUGAGUAAUGCCUAGGAAUCUGCCUGGUAGUGGGGGACAACGUUUCGAAAGGAACGCUAAUACCGCAUACGUCCUACGGGAGAAAGUGGGGGAUCUUCGGACCUCACGCUAUCAGAUGAGCCUAGGUCGGAUUAGCUUGUAGGUGAGGUAAUGGCUCACCUAGGCAACGAUCCGUAACUGGUCUGAGAGGAUGAUCAGUCACACUGGAACUGAGACACGGUCCAGACUCCUACGGGAGGCAGCAGUGGGGAAUAUUGGACAAUGGGCGAAAGCCUGAUCCAGCCAUGCCGCGUGUGUGAAGAAGGUCUUCGGAUUGUAAAGCACUUUAAGUUGGGAGGAAGGGUUGUAGCUUAAUACGCUGCAACCUUGACGUUACCAACAGAAUAAGCACCGGCUAACUCUGUGCCAGCAGCCGCGGUAAUACAGAGGGUGCAAGCGUUAAUCGGAAUUACUGGGCGUAAAGCGCGCGUAGGCGGCUUGAUAAGAUGGGUGUGAAAUCCCCGGGCUUAACCUGGGAACUGCAUCCAUAACUGUCUGGCUAGAGUACAGUAGAGGGUGGUGGAAUUUCCUGUGUAGCGGUGAAAUGCGUAGAUAUAGGAAGGAACACCAGUGGCGAAGGCGACCACCUGGACUGAUACUGACGCUGAGGUGCGAAAGCGUGGGGAGCAAACAGGAUUAGAUACCCUGGUAGUCCACGCCGUAAACGAUGUCAACUAGCCGUUGGAAUCCUUGAGAUUUUAGUGGCGCAGCUAACGCACUAAGUUGACCGCCUGGGGAGUACGGUCGCAAGAUUAAAACUCAAAUGAAUUG
rnacentral:rRNA from 1 species